ensembl:lncRNA novel transcript, antisense to PRKD1
GUACUGGCUUUUUCUUUGCCUUCUACCAUAAUUAUCUGUUUCCUGAGGCCUCCGCAGAAUCCAAGCAGAUGCCAGCAUCAUGCCUGCUGUACAUCCCACAGAACUGUUAGAAAAUAUCCAGAAAAAAUUGUGAAUAAAUCAGAGGAGAAAUGGACAUUACCCAGAUGUCAGGCUUGAAGCUUCAUAAAGUAACUGAAGAGAAUUUGGAAAACAUUGACCCUUGAACAACACAGGUUGAACUGUGUGAGUACACUGAAAAAUGGAUUUUAUUCCACCUCUGCCACCCCUGAGACAACAAGACCAACCCCGUUGUCUUCCUCCUCAUCAGCCUAUUCAAUAUAAGGACAACCAGGAUGAAGACCUUUAUUAUGAUCCACUUCCACUUACUGAACAAGGUUCUUCUUGGAAUCUUCCUAAUGUUUCAGGCAUAACUGUUCACCUCAUGUUUAUAAGACUUUGAAUUUUUACAUAAAAAAGAGGAAGACUGAGAUAUCAUGCAAUGCCAGCAUCAUUAUAUAUCUUGAACUCAGACAAAAUGACAGAGACUGCAUGUCUCCCCUACCUCGUGUCAAACUCUAACUUCCUGGUAAUGAAAUGAAUGAACUGUGGCCACAUACCACUAGAUUUCAUGGAUAGCUCUGUUGACUUGAGAAAAAUUGAAUUCUGAAGGGGCAGAGUUGCUGACAGAUGUCACAUCAGACUCUCACGUGAACACAUACUAUUAGUAUAUACUAAGGGAAAGAAAAGAUAUACUUACAUGUGUUCAGUAGUGAUGUGAAACUGGAUGCUCUCAUCUCCAAAUAAAAACACGUGGCUUCUUU